rnacentral:rRNA from 1 species
AUUGAACGCUGGCGGCAGGCCUAACACAUGCAAGUCGAACGGUAACAGGAAGAGGCUUGCUUCUUUGCUGACGAGUGGCGGGCGUGUGAGUAAUGUCUGUGAAACUGCUUUAUGGAGGGGGAUAACUACUGGAAACGGUAGCUAAUACCGCAUAUCGUCUCAAGACCAAAGAGGGGGACUUUCGGGCGUCUUGCCAUCGGCUUAGCCCGGAUGGCAUUAGCUAGUAGGUGGGGUAACGGCUCACCUAGGCGACGAUCCAUAGCUGGCCUGAGAGGAUGACCAGCCACACUGGAACUGAGACACGGUCCAGACUCCUACGGGAGGCAGCAGUAGGGAAUAUUGCACAAUGGGCGAAAGCCUGAUGCAGCCAUGCCGCGUGUAUGAAGAAGGCCUUCGGGUUGUAAAGUACUUUCAGCGGGGAGGAAGAGAGUAAAGAUAAUACCUGUGCUCAUUGACGGUACCCGAAGAAGAAGCACCGGCUAACUACGUG